AUUGCUUGCAUUCGCUGACGACCGGCGCACGGGUGCGUAACGCGUAUGCAAUCUGCCUUUAACUGGAGAAUAGCCCGGUGAAAACCGGAUUAAUACUCCAUAAUAUUUGGAUUCCGCAUGGUUUCCUUAUUAAAGCUUCGGCGGUUAAAGAUGAGCAUGCGGGACAUUAGCUAGUUGGUGAGGUAACGGCUCACCAAGGCUACGAUGUCUAGGGGGCCUGAGAGGGUGAUCCCCCACACUGGUACUGAGACACGGACCAGACUCCUACGGGAGGCAGCAGUGAGGAAUAUUGCGCAAUGGAGGAAACUCUGACGCAGCCAUGCCGCGUGCAGGAAGAAUGCCCUACGGGUUGUAAACUGCUUUUAUUUGGGAAGAAACACUCCUACGUGUAGGAACUUGACGGUACCAAAUGAAUAAGCACCGGCUAACUCCGUGCCAGCAGCCGCGGUAAUACGGAGGGUGCAAGCGUUAUCCGGAUUUAUUGGGUUUAAAGGGUGCGUAGGCGGAGUAUUAAGUCAGUGGUGAAAGCCUGUAGCUCAACUAUAGAACUGCCAUUGAUACUGAUACCCUUGAGUUUGGCUGAGGUAGGCGGAAUACGGCAUGUAGCGGUGAAAUGCAUAGAUAUGCCGUAGAACACCGAUCGCGAAGGCAGCUUACCAAACCAAUACUGACGCUGAGGCACGAAAGCGUGGGGAGCGAACAGGAUUAGAUACCCUGGUAGUCCACGCCGUAAACGAUGAUCACUCGCUGCUGGCGAUAAACUGUCAGUGGCCAAGCGAAAGCAUUAAGUGAUCCACCUGGGGAGUACGCUCGCAAGAGUGAAACUCAAAGGAAUUGAC
rnacentral:rRNA from 1 species